CGAAAUAAAUGGCUGGGUCACCCUAAUGUGAAAGUUCCAUGACGAUGAAGAUUGCAAUGCGGCUAGCUACACACUACGAAAAUGAAGACACAGAGUCACUGGUUUCGAAAGCAGAGGUCGAAUGCCGACCGGGGCGUGGUGCGCCUUUAAUAGCCAAAAACUUCCCGUGCUACAGUUCCCACGCUGACGUCACGCGCGGAUCACCUGACCUUCCCGUGCGCGGGCUUUCCCAGCCCAACGCUGGGGAAGAAGAAGGGCCCCGCGCCAUCUCAGAUCGGGGCCUCCAAUGACGUCGCGAUGUCGGGAGCCGGUUCGAUGCCGGUGCGGUGA